rnacentral:rRNA from 1 species
CGAGUGAAAGAAGGGCGUUCGGUGGAUGCCUUGGCGCCAAGAGGCGAUGAAGGACGUGGCACGCUGCGAUAAGCUGC